rnacentral:rRNA from 1 species
AACGAACGCUGGCGGCAGGCCUAACACAUGCAAGUCGAGCGCCCUCGCAAGGGGGAGCGGCGGACGGGUGAGUAACGCGUGGGAAUUUUCCUCAAGGUACGGAACAACUCAGGGAAACUUGGGCUAAUACCGUAUGAUGUCUAGCGACCAAAGAUUUAUCGCCUUGGGAUAAGCACGCGUCAGAUUAGGUAGUUGGUGGGGUAACGGCCUACCAAGCCUGCGAUCUGUAGCUGGUCUGAGAGGACGAUCAGCCACAUUGGGAUUGAGACACGGCCCAAACUCCUACGGGAGGCAGCAGUGGGGAAUCUUGCGCAAUGGGCGAAAGCCUGACGCAGCCAUGCCGCGUGAAUGAUGAAGGUCUUAGGAUUGUAAAGUUCUUUCGCCCGUGACGAUGAUGACGGUAACGGGAGAAGAAGCCCCGGCUAACUUCGUGCCAGCAGCCGCCGCAGUAA